UACGUAGGGGGCAAGCGUUGUCCGGAUUUAUUGGGCGUAAAGAGCGUGUAGGCGGCCAGACAGGUCCGUUGUGAAAACUCGAGGCUCAACCUCGAGAUGUCGAUGGAAACCGUCUGGCUAGAGUCCGGAAGAGGAGUGUGGAAUUCCUGGUGUAGCGGUGAAAUGCGCAGAUAUCAGGAAGAACACCUAUGGCGAAGGCAGCACUCUGGGCCGAUACUGACGCUGAGGCGCGAAAGCGUGGGGAGCAAACAGG
rnacentral:rRNA from 1 species